rnacentral:misc_RNA from 1 species
AUAUAUCAACCUCUUCAGAGUGUUGGAUGUGGGGGUCUCUUUGCUGGCCUUUCUGAAGUCAGCUCCCCUGAAAUGCAUUAGCAGAACAAAUAUGUGGACCUGUUCAUUGGUGUGAUAACUAUCUACGCUAUUGACGUGAAGCAGUUCAGCUACUAACAGUCCAUUGACUUGGACAAUAUUCAUUA